CUGCGAAGGGGGGACGGAGAAAGCUAGGUUAUCCGGGCGACGGUUGUCCCGGUUUAAGCGUGAAGGUGGAUGACUUUGGUAAAUCCGGGUCAUCAUUAACACUGAGGCGUGAUGACGAGUCACUACGGUGAUGAAGUAACCAAUGCUACGCUUCCAGGAAAAGCCUCUAAGCUCCAGGUAACAUCAAAUCGUACCCCAAACCGACACAGGUGGUCAGGUAGAGAAUACUCAGGCGC
rnacentral:rRNA from 1 species